AGCAUGUUCAUGCAUCAUGAAUGCCAUGUGACGUUUUAGGUUGUUUGCAUUAGAAUUCACGAAUAUGUUGCAUUGCAUAUUUUAAUGUUGAUGUGGAUGAAUGUUGGAUGAUCCAUAGCCCUCGAUCUAUGAUGUGACGAUGUGAUAUGUACGGUACGGAAUGUAAGACCAGUGGGACCCAUUCUACGUUCGCUGGCACUAUGUUAGAGAAAGACCAGGACCCAUUCUACGUUCUGGCACAGUUGGACUAUGUAGAGGGCUGUUGGUGACAAGUUCAUCCUUGAUGUGAUU
rnacentral:lncRNA from 1 species